rnacentral:sRNA from 1 species
GCUGGGCAUGGUGGCACAUGUCUGUAAUCCCAGCAACUCAGGAGGCUGAGGCAAGAGAAUCACGAGUUCGAGGCCAACCUUAACAACUUAGUGAGACCCUGUCUCAA